rnacentral:rRNA from 1 species
UACGUAGGGGGCAAGCGUUGUCCGGAAUCAUUGGGCGUAAAGAGCGCGUAGGCGGCCCUGUAAGUCCGCUGUGAAAGUCAAGGGCUCAACCCUUGGAUGCCGGUGGAUACUGCAGGGCUAGAGUCCGGAAGAGGCGAGUGGAAUUCCUGGUGUAGCGGUGAAAUGCGUAGAGAUCGGGAGGAACACCCGUAGCGAAGGCGGCCACCUGGGCCGACCCUGACGCUGAGGCGCGAAGGCCAGGGGAGCGAACGGG